GGAGAAGACACAACAAAAGCCGACAAUUCAGGGAAGCACGGAGAUAUUUUCAGUGAAAACAAGCAGAAUUUAUAAAAGAAGAAAAUAAUACGGCUCUUGAAACUCCACAUAAUCAUUAACAGCAUAGCUAAUAUAAUGAGCAGAUCUGAAGAUGAGUGAGGGAAGAAAAGCAUCUGCAAGACAAGAGUCAACAGAAUCUGAAUGGUCACCAUGCUUGCAGCUAGGAAGCAGUUUGCUCAAGAGGGCUGGGUUUUGUUCAGGGCCUGCAUUUGGCU